rnacentral:rRNA from 1 species
AUCCAUGUUGAUUAAUGGGAUUGUGGGGAAAACUCCAUAGUUAAGCACACUUGAGCCAGAGGCGUCUUGGGAUGGGUGACCACCUGGGAAGUCCUGGU